rnacentral:rRNA from 1 species
UUUGCAUUGGUGAUGGAUGAGGUCACAAGGGAUAUACAAGGAGAUAUCCCAUGGUGUAUGCUCUUUGCGGAUGAUGUGGUGCUAGUUGACGAUAGUCGGACGGGGGUAAAUAGGAAGUUAGGGUUAUGGAGACAAACCUUGGAAUCGAAAGGGUUUAGGCUUAGUAGAACUAAAACCGAGUACAUGAUGUGCGGUUUCAGUACUACUAGGUGUGAGGAGGAGGUUAGCCUUGAUGGCCAGGUGGUACCUCAGAAGGACACCUUUCGGUAUUUGGGGUCAAUGCUGCAGGAGGAUGGGGGUAUUGAUGAAGAUGUGAACCAUCGAAUCAAAGUCGGAUGGAUGAAGUGGCACCAAGCUUCUGGCAUUCUCUGUGACAAGAGAGUGCCACAAAAGCUAAAAGGCAAGUUCUACAGGACGGCGGUUCAACCCGCAAUGUUGUAUGGCGCUGAGUGUUGGCCGACUAAAAGGCGACAU